GACGAACGCUGGCGGCGUGCUUAACACAUGCAAGUCGAACGAAGAGCGAUGGAAGCUUGCUUCUAUCAAUCUUAGUGGCGAACGGGUGAGUAACGCGUAAUCAACCUGCCCUUCAGAGGGGGACAACAGUUGGAAACGACUGCUAAUACCGCAUACGAUCUAAUCUCGGCAUCGAGGAUAGAUGAAAGGUGGCCUCUACAUGUAAGCUAUCACUGAAGGAGGGGAUUGCGUCUGAUUAGCUAGUUGGAGGGGUAACGGCCCACCAAGGAGAUGAUCAGUAGCCGGUCUGAGAGGAUGAACGGCCACAUUGGGACUGAGACACGGCCCAGACUCCUACGGGAGGCAGCAGUGGGGAAUCUUCCGCAAUGGACGAAAGUCUGACGGAGCAACGCCGCGUGAGCGAUGACGGCCUUCGGGUUGUAAAGCUCUGUUAAUCGGGACGAAAGGCCUUCUUGCGAAUAGUGAGAAGGAUUGACGGUACCGGAAUAGAAAGCCACGGCUAACUACGUG
rnacentral:rRNA from 1 species